rnacentral:rRNA from 1 species
GACGAACGCUGGCGGCGUGCUUAACACAUGCAAGUCGAACGGUAAGGCCCCAGCUUGCUGGGGUACACGAGUGGCGAACGGGUGAGUAACACGUGGGUGACCUGCCCCGCACUUCGGGAUAAGCCUGGGAAACUGGGUCUAAUACCGGAUAGGACCGCACCGUGAGGGUGUGGUGGAAAGUUUUUCGGUGUGGGAUGGGCCCGCGGCCUAUCAGCUUGUUGGUGGGGUAAUGGCCUACCAAGGCGGCGACGGGUAGCCGGCCUGAGAGGGUGGACGGCCAAAUUGGGACUGAGACACGGCCCAGACUCCUACGGGAGGCAGCAGUGGGGAAUAUUGCACAAUGGGCGGAAGCCUGAUGCAGCGACGCCGCGUGGGGGAUGACGGCCUUCGGGUUGUAAACUCCUUUCACCAUCGACGAAGGUUUUCUGACGGUAGAUGGAGAAGAAGCACCGGCUAACUACGUG